rnacentral:lncRNA from 1 species
AAAAAAAAAGAAGAAGAAUUGAUCAAUCAGCAUCAAAACCUGGUUUUCGAUGACCACAUUACAGAGAUCUUCGUACUCGUUCCGUAGGCAAGGCUCUUCGGGACGUAUAUGGGACAAAGACCGAGUUCAGAAUCAAGACAUUCAUCCUUCCGAAAAAUCCAGGGAUUUCAAUUACCAUCCCAUUGUUUCCAAUUCCAAUUCCUAUUCCAAUUCCAAUUCCUAUUCCUAUUCCAAUUCCGGUGUUCUCAAUGCAACACCGUCCGAUAAUUCCAAAGUUCCGCCUCCUUCAGGUUCCAGAUCAGAAUCCAAGGUUCAUCACAGGUGCGGUUUUGUUUCCAUUUUCGGGUGUUGCGUUGGAUCUCGUGCCUCUUAGCACCCUCGAUUUCUUUUCUUGCCUACCAAACAGGCCUUUAUUCUUAUUUGGUAUGUUCGGUCUUUUGUUUUUAAUCUUUAUGCAGUUUGUUAUUCUCCUGUUUAUUUUUUUCUUACAAUAUAUUACAGAAUCUUCUGUAUUUUAGAGAGAACAUCGAUUCUCUGCAGAAUGUAUAUAUGAAUCAUAGGAUCUGUUACUUUGAAUUUUAUCGUCGUUUCGUAAGCUUCUUCUGAAUCAUGAAAAAAACAACAAAUGUGUAACUUUGUAUUAAUAAUUUGUUACAGUUUCUUUUGUACACUCAGCCAUUGACAAUACACGAAGAAAUGAAAAAAA